GAUUAACGCUGGCGGCGUGCCUAACACAUGCAAGUCGAACGAGGUAGCAAUACCUAGUGGCAGACGGGUGAGUAACGCGUGGUCAACCUACCGUUGAGUGGGGGAUAACUAGCCGAAAGGUUAGCUAAUACCGCAUACGUCUCCGAGGGGCAUCCCUUGGCGAUAAAAAGGAGCAAUCCGCUCGAUGACGGGACCGCGUCCCAUUAGCUAGAUGGUGGGGUAACGGCCUACCAUGGCACCGAGGGUAGCUGGUUUGAGAGAGCGACCAGCCACACUGGGACUGAGAAACGGCCCAGACUCCUACGGGAGGCAGCAGUGAGGAAUUUUCCGCAAUGGGCGCAAGCCUGACGGAGCGACGCCGCGUGUGGGAAGAAGGCCUUCGGU
rnacentral:rRNA from 1 species